GGCAUUCUCGCGUGUAGAAGGCAGGACGGUUAGGAUCUUCAUCUUUCUUCCAGAGGCCAUUGAGGGCACCGAGCUAGUCACAGUCAGAGAACACACUACAGUGGGGAAUAGGCAUGAUCCCCUCCUGUCAGUCAUCAGCUCUCCAUGCCAGACCUGAAAAGAUGCCUGAAAACCCACAUCUAAUUACACCACUCUCCGUGUGCGAUACACCAGCUUUACCAUUUCUGUGAGUCCUCAGAAAGCAAAUAUGAAGCAGGAAGUAAUGGAACCUACCAUGGACCACCUUUAACAACCAGAGCUUAACUUUACCUUCCAUCUGAAAUGACCUCUUGUUUCUCUGAGAAUUACUAACCACCAACCCCUUCAGAGAACCACACGGAAAAACUGCAAGCCAUGUCACAGGAAGAUAAUUAUUUUCAAAUAGCUACACAGGAGAAUAAAGGAAAGAAAGCUAA
rnacentral:lncRNA from 1 species